GAGUUUGAUCGUGGCUCAGGACGAACGCUGGCGGCGUGCCUAAUACAUGCAAGUCGAGCGAGGGUUUUUAAGACCCUAGCGGCGGACGGGUGAGUAACACGUAGGCAACCUGCCUCUCAGACCGGGAUAACAUAGGGAAACUUAUGCUAAUACCGGAUAGGUUUUUGGAUUGCAUGAUCCGAAAAGAAAAGAUGGCUUUUCGCUAUCACUGGGAGAUGGGCCUGCGGCGCAUUAGCUAGUUGGUGGGUAACGGCCUACCAAGGCGACGAUGCGUAGCCGACCUGAGAGGGUGGACCGGCCGACACUGGGACGUGAGACACGGCCCAGACUCCUACGGGAGGCAGCAGUAGGGAAUUUUCCACAAUGGACG
rnacentral:rRNA from 1 species